GGUCACGAUUUCCGCGUGUUUCCACUCGUUGGGUACGUGUCCCUUGCUCCAGAGUCCUUCGUUUAGGUAUUCCGUCAAGACCAGGAUGUGCAUCGGGCUCAGGAUUCUAAUCAUGGCAUUGGUGAUUUUGUCAGCCCCGGGAGCAGUGUUGCGCUGUGAGGCUCGUGCCGCGGCAUACACCUCUUCUUCCGUGAUCCGAGCCUGCAGUUCUGAUCUUGGUUCUCCUUCGUAUUUUAUGAGGCAGGGUCGUA
rnacentral:lncRNA from 1 species